GCCAGCCGGGGAGAUGCUGAUCCGCACUACAGGGCCAUUAGAACAUGUAACUUGAGUCGUGGAAAUCCGAAUGUGGUUAUUUAUAUCAGAGUAGAUGCUACUGUGACAUGGGCAUGCACUUCACUCCAGCGAAGAUGCGGGGUAAAACUUGAGUCACCUACAAAAUGAUUUUUACCAUUUGUCAGAGCAGAAGUUUCUCUA